UCGUGCUAGGUGGGGAGUUAGCGGUGCCCUGAACCCGCAAUCCGCUAUAGCGGGACUGAAUUCCUUCUCGAGGCUUGCGUUUUGACGUGCGGGGUAUGGCCCCGGCGGCGUUGAGAAUCAGGUCCGACGCAAUCGAAGCUUGUGAACCCGGUCAGGACCGGAAGGUAGCAGCCGUAAGCGAUACCUUUGGUGUGCCGUUGGUUUGCCUGAUUGGAGUCGGCCGACCGUAUCCGACGUUUUGCGUCUGUCGACAGAAGGUGCACGA
rnacentral:SRP_RNA from 1 species